GCCCGGGUGGCGAAACUGGCAGACGCACGGGACUUAAAAUCCCGAGUUCCGAAAGGAACGUAUCGGUUCGAUUCCGAUCCCGGGCACCA
rnacentral:tRNA from 1 species